GCUUCUAUCUUUACAUAUUACAAGGAGGGAGCUGCACGCCGGUAGCUCCCUCCUUGUAAUAAACUGAACAAACACUGAUAUUCAGUAUUUGUUCAUCUGAAAUUCUAGUCAUUCAUUCUGCUUUCUGACGAAAGAAUAGAUGAAAUUCCUCUUCGCAUGCCCAAGUGUUUGACUGGGCAUGUGCGGGUAUUUCAUCGUGCUUUCUAGCGUAGGGAUCGACCGAUAUUGAUUUUUAUUUAUUUAUUUGAGCCGAUAUUCUGUACAUUUACCAUUUUGAAAAAAUAAACUAUUUCUUAAGGUAAAUGCACAAAAUAUACAUGUCAAACGUAGUGGAUGCAGAGUGUUUAGACAGGGGAGCUGUGUGUAUUU